AUGGAGGCGACCGCGUUGAGCAUCGGCAAGUCCGUGCUGAGCGGGGCCCUUGGCCUCGCCAAGUUCGCCGUUGCGGAGGAGGUGGCCCUGCAGCUGGGAGUACAGCGCGACAAGGCCUUCGUCACGGAUGAGCUGGAGAUGAUGCAGUCUUUCUUGAUGGUGGCGCAUGAUGAGCGAGGUGAGCACAACAAGGUGGUCAGGACCUGGGUGAAGCAGGUCCGCGACGUCGAGGAUUCGCUCCAGGAUUUUGUUGUUCGUGUGGACAAACAGUCUUGGUGGCGCAUUCCUCGCAUGCUUCUCGAUCGUCGCCAUGUUGCCAAGCAGAUGAAGGAGCUGAGGACCAAAGUCGAGGACGUGAGCCAGAGGAACUUGCGCUAUGGCCUCAUCAAGGGUUCUAACUCCACUCAGUCUGCCGCUGAUGCUGCCCCUGCCGUUGAUGCUGCCAUGUUUGGUGUUGAUGAAGCAAGGCAUGCCGCGAAGAAACACCAAGCAAGAUCGGAUUUGGCCCAGCUGAUCAACAAGGAUGGUGAUGAUCAUGUUGGAGUGAUCGGUGUGUGGGGAACAAGUGGCACUGUUGGGCAUAACACCAUCAUCUGGGAGGCCUACGAGAAUCCAGACGUCAAACUGAAUUUUCCGUGCCGAGCAUGGGUCAGGGUGAUGCGUCCUUUUUGUCCAACAGAAUUUGUCCUGAGUAUGGUGAAACAGUUUCACACAGCGGUGGGGGUUGGUGUUCUGCUGGAGGGGGAAAGGAAGGAGCAAGAUUUGGCUCAGGCCUUCAAUGGAUAUGUCAAUGAGAAGAGGUGCCUGAUUGUGCUUACUGGCCUGUCCACAAUUGAAGAAUGGCACCAGAUCAAGACUUGUUUCCCAGAGAACAAACUGGGGAGCCGGAUCAUAGUAUCCACUGAACAUGUUGAAGUUGCAAGCUUAUGCCCCGGGCGGGAAAGUACUGUAUCAGAGCUCAAACAAUUGUCUACUGAACAAACCAUCUAUGCUUUCUACUGGCAGAGCUCUCAUGAUGUUACAUAUCCAUCAAAGCCAGCAUCUAGGUCAAAGUUAUCCAACAUCCCUGAGAAUGAGAUACAAGAAGACCAAUCCAAUGCUUUUGUUGAUGGAAAUAUGAUAGCGCAAAAGAGGUUAACACGCGCCCACACAAUGGCAGGUGUCCUUGAGGAAUUUCAGCUUAUUGGGCGAGAGAAAGAAAAAUCUGAUAUUAUUGCACUAAUCGUAAAACAAGAUAGCACCCAUCAAGUUCAGGUGAUAGUAGUAUGGGGAAUGGGUGGUCUUGGAAAAACCACUCUGAUAAAAAAUGUUUUCCAGAGCAAAGAAGUCAGUGGCCUGUUUGGGAAAUAUGCUUUUGUCACAGUCUUGCGGCCUUUCAAGCUUGAGGAGCUCCUUAGGAGCUUGGCAUUGCAAUUAGAUGCAAACAAGGGAUCCAUGGACUUUGUAGGUGACACCCAAAAAAACAUUGGUUUGAUGGGAGUUGCAGACUUGAUUGAAGUGUUGGGCAGACGUUCAGCAGGAAAGAGGUGUUUGAUUGUUCUCGAUGACCUCUCAGCUAUGGUAGAAUGGGAUAAAAUAUCGGCAAGUUUAGGUGAAAUAAAAAAUCUGGUUAUUGUGAUCACCACAAGGCGAGAGGAUAUUGCUAAACAUUGUUGCCAAAACCCAGAAUGCAUACGCUUGCUCAACGGUCUUGAAGAAGAGGAUGCAAGUAACCUGUUCAAAAGAAAGGUAUUUAGGAAUAUGACUACUGAUUUGGUGGAGCAAUAUCCUGCAUUGGUCGAACCAGCAAAACUAAUCCUGAAGAAGUGCAAUGGACUUCCCCUUGCCAUAGUCACCAUAGGUGGUUUCUUGGCUGAUCAACCAACAAAAACUGCUGCAGAGUGGAGGAAACUGAAUGAGCAUAUCAAUGUUGAGCUGGAGAUGAAUCCAAAGUUUGAAGUCAUAAAAACAGUCCUCAUGAAAAGUUACGAUGGCCUACCCUAUUAUCUCAAGCCUUGUUUCUUGUACAUGUCCAUCUUCCCUGAAGACCGCAAUGUUAGUCGGAGGCGUUUGGCUUACCAAUGGGUUGCUGAAGGUUAUGCGCGAGACAAGUCCACAGCAGAUAGAUACUUCAUGGAACUCAGAGAGAGAAGCAUGAUAUUACCAACUCAGUAA
rnacentral:rRNA from 1 species